rnacentral:rRNA from 1 species
GCGGCAAGACGGAAAGACCCCGUGAACCUUUACUGCAGCUUGACAUUGGCUGCCGGUUCGUCGUGUAGAGGAUAGGUGGGAGACGCUGAACCAGGGACGCCAGUCUCUGGGGAGUCGCCCUUGGAAUACCACCCUCGACGUUCUGGCAUCCUAACCCGCGACCGUCACCCGGCGUGGGGACCGUGUCAGGUGGGUAGUUUGACUGGGGCGGU